UUUUUUUAACUGCUGAAUGUACACCUGGAGCUCUGGGGGAAUCUCGCCAUCACGAAUGAUGCAGCACGAAGGACAGCAGUGCUUGGAGACAGGGAAGGAGUACUCCAUCCUGAUGCUAUCACUUGAACCCCCUGAUCCAGCUGUUCCUGAAGCCCCACCUUGGACUAAUAGGUCCAUAACCACUCAAGUCUUUGUUUUCCUUCCUUUUCUGCUUAAGUUACUUAGAGUUGGCUUUCUGUCAUUUGUAACAAAAAGAGUUUUAAUGGAUAUCCAUCCAUCCAUCUGCCCCUCUGUCCAUCCAUUCAUCCACUCAUCCAUCCACAAGUCUUAGCUGUGUGGGCUUAGACAUAUCACUUCCUCUUUAAGGAUCUGGAAAAUGGGAGUUUCAUCACCUACCGAUGGGGCGGUUUCAAGGGUAACGGGCAACCCUUAAAGGGUAACGUGCUGUGCUCAGUAACAAAUGCAGAGGGACUCAGUAGAUUUCUCUUUCCUCCCUUCUUUUCUGUCUAAAUCCCACCCCCACCCCUGCACAGGUGUCUGGAAAGCCAAGGCAGGACCCACCCCAGCCCCUUGUCCUGGAUCCUUUCGAGCAGCAGAAUCCGAUUGGUACAGCCUUUAUUGUUUCUCCAGCAUUUUCCAGAAGAAUGGUGUCAUUUGAGGGCCGAAGGAGGACCAGGGGGAGUAAAAAAUAACAUAAACAAACUGAACAGAAACGCAGGAAGGCAGCGAGAGGGGCUGAGGUUGGGGGUUGGGGAUAGAGAGGUGGAAGACCUGGGCAGCCAGAGCCUCUUAGCUUUCAGCCACCAGAGUGGAGAAUUCUGCAAAAGAAAAUGACAGAGAUGAGAAAACUCCUCUGAUGAGUCUGGCAAUUUUCACGAGGUCAUAGUGCAACAAGAAGCAGAGCCAGGAUUCAGACCCAGGGGGACAGAGCAAGACCCUGGAGGACCCCGAGCCUGUCGCAUCUCCGUGCAGCUCAGGGGAGAGAGCACAUACAGGUGCUCAGAACAAGCUGAAGUCUGUCUCACACAGCUCCUCACCUGACAUCACAAGCCCUCAGGAGACUAGGAAGUAUCCUCCCCAUUUUACAGAAGGAAAAACUGAGGCCCAGAGAGGAGAAGUGACUUUGCAGAGCCUCCAGGUGAGGGGAGGCCUAGGGGCCAGGAUAUGGUCCCCCGCCCCACAGGAGCUUCUGGUCUAUUGGGAGGAAGACGACAUCUGGCAGGAAGUGCUCCAAGCUGCUGGCCUUUUCUGGGAGUCUCAAGCAUGCAGAAGGCGUUGUCACCCAGGAUCUUGGCACCUGCUGCUUGCCCCACCUGGUGGACUCUGCUUUCUCAUGGUUAGCUCCUUCUCACUCACCUGGUCUCCGCCCACAUGUCACUGUUCAGGGCGCCUCUCUGACCACUGGGAGAGCAGUGAUGCUCUUGGCUAGAGCCACGUUUUAGCACGUUCACGGCACUCACACUUACUUCUGGUAUUUCGGGCACAUUCCUUUGCUGUCUGCCUCCCCCACUGGAACGUAAAGCUCCAGA